ACUACUACUUGUACUAGUGGUAUGUACUAGUACUACUACUACUAGUAGUGCUAGUACUACUACUAGUAGUGUUAGUACUACUACUAGUAGUG
rnacentral:tRNA from 1 species